rnacentral:rRNA from 1 species
GACACACGGCGGGUGCUAACGUCCGUCGUGAAGAGGGAAACAACCCAGACCGCCAGCUAAGGUCCCAAAGUCAUGGUUAAGUGGGAAACGAUGUGGGAAGGCCCAGACAGCCAGGAUGUUGGCUUAGAAGCAGCCAUCAUUUAAAGAAAGCGUAAUAGCUCACUGGUCGAGUCGGCCUGCGCGGAAGAUGUAACGGGGCUAAACCAUGCACCGAAGCUGCGGCAGCGACACUAUGUGUUGUUGGGUAGGGGAGCG